AAAACUAGCCAGUCCUUUAGUAUGAAACCCAUUUGGGCGAGAGUAGUACUAGGAUGGGAGACCUCCCGGGAAGUCCUCGUGAAAUGGUUUCA
rnacentral:rRNA from 1 species